rnacentral:rRNA from 1 species
UCGCAGAUCAGCAUGCUGCGGUGAAUACGUUCCCGGGCCUUGUACACACCGCCCGUCACACCAUGGGAGUCGGUAACACCCGAAGCCUGUAGUCUGACCUUUUGGAGGACGCAGUCGAAGGUGGGAUCGAUGACUGGGGUGAAGUCGUAACAAGGUAAC